rnacentral:tRNA from 1 species
GCCGGCGUAGCUCAGUCGGUAGAGCAAUCCGUUCGUAACGGAUGGGUCGGGGGUUCAAAUCCCUUCGCCGGCU